UCUCCGUUGUCUUCCUUGUCUAUCUUCCCACUGCCCCCUCUCUCUCUUUCUCCGCUUCCUCUUCCCACUCUACCUCUCUUCUUGUUUCAUCACUUCCCUCGCUCUCCUCCUCUAUCUUUCCCAACUUUUUUCUGUGGUUUCUUAUUUGCAUGCUUGAGCAGCCUUCUUCGUUGAAGAAACCCUAAGUAUAGGUCUGGGAAGAAGAAAAUCUAGCAGUUCGGGUUUCUUAUUUUUUCACGUGCUCCACUUUUUUUUCCGCUCUCUUCCUUGUCUAUCUUCCCACUGCCCCCUCUCUCUCUUUCUCCGCUUCCUCUUCCCACUCUACCUCUCUUCUUGUUUCAUCACUUCCCUCGCUCUCCUCCUCUAUCUUUCCCAACUUUUUUCUGUGGUUUCUUAUUUGCAUGCUUGAGCAGCCUUCUUCGUUGAAGAAACCCUAAGUAUAGGUCUGGGAAGAAGAAAAUCUAGCAGUUCGGGUUUCUUAUUUUUUCACGUGCUCCACUUUUUUUUCCGCUCUCUUCCUUGUCUAUCUUCCCACUGCCCCCUCUCUCUCUUUCUCCGCUUCCUCUUCCCACUCUACCUCUCUUCAUGUUUCAUCACUUCCCUCACUCUCCUCCUCUAUCCUUCCCAGCUUUUUUUUUUCUGUGAUUUCUUAUUUGCAUGCUUGAGUAGCCUUCUCCAUUCUAAGUCUAGCAGUUCGGGUUUCUUAUCUUUUGUUUCUUAUUUUUUGUUCUAAAUGAAACCCUCUUUUCCCCUGAUUUUAGCUCAGUUGAUAAGGUGAAGGACUGCGAAUGGGUUUGUCGCUACUUUGAAUCUGAUUUAAGUUGAGGAGAAAGAGGGAACAUCUCCAUCUUUGGGCUUAGAGGUAGGUUCGUGGUUGGUGUGUUGAAGUCUUGCAUAAGUUGAUUCAAUUGAUGCAAGUGAAAGGUGCGCGGAAAGGAAAGUUGGAUCCAUUCCUUCCUCUAGAUUUAUAUGGUUUAUCCAGAGUGGCUCUUAUUUAUUUAUUUUGAUUUUUGACCACUCUGUCUGGUAGCUCUUAUGAUGAACGAACGGUCAAAUUUCACAAAUCCAUUUGAAUCUGGCUCAAUUCCAUGCCCCUGUGAAUAUCCACCAGCAAGUGCAAACCCAAUUAAUUGUUGAAUACCCACCAACUAUUCAAAAGAACGAAGUUUGCUUUCAAAAAUCCUAUUGUUCCUUUCCUUCCACACUUCUACAAAUAACAAAGGGAAGCAUAGACUAGUUGAUGAGCUUUACAUAAGCUCAUCCAUGGGAUGAGAUAAUCUGCAAACAGCAAAUGAAGUGAACCACAACAUAAGUAGCAACAAAAACAAUUUUGAUAAUUUGUUUCUUGUAACCUGAAAAAUGAGAUUGUAGACCUAUCAGUAAUUAGCAAAUCUCACUUUUGACAACAAUUUUGCCCUUUAGAGGCUUAUUUCA